rnacentral:rRNA from 1 species
GACGUAGGGGGCGAGCGUUGUCCGGAUUUAUUGGGCGUAAAGCGCGCGUAGGCGGUCCGGUAAGUCGGGUGUGAAAAUCCGGGGCUCAACCCCGGACCUGCAUUCGAUACUGCUGGGCUGGAGGCAGGUAGGGGAGAGUGGAAUUCCUGGUGUAGCGGUGAAAUGCGCAGAUAUCAGGAGGAACACCAAUGGCGAAGGUAGCACUCUGGGACGUGACUGACGCUGAGACGCGAAAGCGUGGGGAGCAAACAGG